CCUACGGGCGGCAGCAGUGAGGAAUAUUGGUCAAUGGACGAGAGUCUGAACCAGCCAAGUAGCGUGAAGGAUGACUGCCCUAUGGGUUGUAAACUUCUUUUAUAUGGGAAUAAAAUGUUCCACGUGUGGGAUUUUGUAUGUACCAUAUGAAUAAGGAUCGGCUAACUCCGUGCCAGCCGCCGCGGUAAUACGGAGGAUCCGAGCGUUAUCCGGAUUUAUUGGGUGUAAAGGGAGCGUAGGUGGAUUGUUAAGUCAGUUGUGAAAGUUUGCGGCUCAACCGUAGAAUUGCAGUUGAAACUGGCAGUCUUGAGUACAGUAGAGGUGGGCGGAAGUCGUGGUGUAGCGGUGAAAUGCUUAGAUAUCACGAAGAACUCCGAUGGCGAAGGCAGCUCACUGGACUGAAACUGACACUGAGGCUCGAAAGUGUGGGUAUCAAACAGGAUUAGAUACCCGUGUAGUC
rnacentral:rRNA from 1 species